CUUCGCUGUCCAUUCCCACAAUCAUUGGUACAAACUGUAUACAAGGAUAUACCCUGCAUAAAAGACCCAUAUAUAUGUGUUACAGACGAUUAUUGGGGACAUGACUGCAGUUCCUGGAGGGCGGCAGAUUGGAACGCGGGAACAGCUUGGGUAUACAAACCACAGAGUGCCCUGGACAGGUUGGACAGAAAUGGGGAAUCCCUAUUACGUAGAAUGACUUUACAGAAACCGGGAGGGGCGACUCCAAUUAAACUUAACCUAAACAUAGAAAAUCCUAGCCCCGG